ensembl:lncRNA
CAAGAAAUAAUUAUAUAUAUGUAUAUAUAACGUAGCUGUUAAAUUUGUAACAGUCUUGGUAUGUUGUCAAAGUCAGUACUAUACAAUGUAAACAGUAUAAAAUACAUCCAAUAAGCAAGCAGACGGAAAUAUCAAUCAGAAUCACUAACAACAAUCCUGAGGUAUUUACAAGAAUCUCAGAUCAGAACUGAUGAGUUCUACAGAGUUACUCCUCCAGCACCUUGCACCAAUCACUGCAAAACCCUGGAUGGGUGUGCAUCUCUCCUCGCUUUCCUCUUCCAACAUAGUCAAGUCAAGUCUCCUUUAUUUAUGUAGUGCUUUUAAUAAUACAGAUUGUGUCAAAGCAACUUUACAGUAUUAAAUAGGAGCAUAGUGUGUGUCAAUAAUGCAGAAGGACAAUAGUAAACAAAAUUUUUAGUUAAAGGCAGUUCAUCAUUGAACUCAGUGAUGUCAUCAUCCAGCUCAGUUCAGUUUAAUUCGUAUCUGUGCAAUCAUUUGCAAUCAAGUCAAUGAUAUCGCUGUAAAUGAAGUAUCCCCAACUAAGCAAACCAGAGGAACCAAAACUCCAUCGGUGACAGAAAGGAGAGAAAACCUUGGGAGAAACCAGGCUCAGUCGGGGGGCCAGUUCUCCUCUGACCAGACGAAACCAGCAGUUCAAUUCCAGGCUGCAGCAAAGUCAGAUUGUGCAGAAGAAUCAUCUGUUUCCUGUGGUCUUGUCCCGGUGGUCGUCUAAGACAAGGUCUUUACAGGGGAUCUUUCUCUGGGGCUCUAGUUGUCCUUGUCUCCGCUGUCUUUCAGGGCUGUAGAGGUCCUCUCUAGGUGCUGAUCCACCAUCUGGGCUGGAUACAUACUGGAUCCGGGUGACUGCAGUGACCCUCUGAUCUGCAUACAGACUGGAUCUGGUGGCUACGGUGACCUCGGAAUAAGAGAGAAACAGACUAAUAUAAUUUAAAAUUUUAAUAUCUAUAUGAUGUUUAAUAGGUAGCCAGUGCAGUGUUGACAGAACCGGGAUAAUAUGGUCAUACUUUCUGGUUCUAGUAAGAACUCUAGCUGCUGCAUUUUAUUAUUCAUAAGAAAACGGUGACAUUAAUACCUAAAUUGCUUUAUUAACAGUAGACAUGCAUGCACAGCCAUAUUAAUGAUUGUUCCCAUUGCAUUUUGUCAUCAUGUAUCUAGCAGUGAUCGCAUUUUCAUGCAUAAUUUGCACACCUGGUAAGCAGUUCUUGUAAACCUCAUCGCAGGGCUGCAGUGUGUACAUUUUUAAGAAUUCUUGGCAUGGCUCAGACUUGUUCUCCAUUUUGUUACACCUGUAUAUUGAGAUGAGGAGCUGUCAAGUCAGCAGAAGUGUGCCCUCUUUCAAAUUGAGUCUGUAUACACCAGACUUCUGAAUUUGGAACAAACCAAAGACAGAUUUAAUAAUGCAGCAUCACCCUCCUCCAGGACCACAUGAAGAAUAAUGUCCGACAGGACAGCAUCUGGCAACUACUGGGCAUCAUAAACAAAACAAAAAAUAUAAGGCAUGCUUAUAAAAACUACUUCAAUGUUCUAUUUUAACUACGGCCUAAUCCUGGCUUAAUCCAAGCCCUUGUCUGUGAAACCAGACCUAAAAGUUAUAAGGAAUUCCAU